rnacentral:tRNA from 1 species
GUAGAUUAACUCAAAGUAAAAGUAUGUUCAUGGCCUCUCACGCCGGAAACCGGGGUUCGAUUCCCCGUGGGAUCACCA